rnacentral:rRNA from 1 species
UACAGAGGUCUCAAGCGUUGUUCGGAUUCAUUGGGCGUAAAGGGUGCGUAGGUGGCGCCGUAAGUCGGGUGUGAAAUUUCGGAGCUUAACUCCGAAACUGCAUUCGAUACUGCGGUGCUUGAGGACUGGAGAGGAGACUGGAAUUCAUGGUGUAGCAGUGAAAUGCGUAGAGAUCAUGAGGAACACCAGUGGCGAAGGCGGCUCGCUGGACCGGAACUGACGCUGAGGCGCGAAAGCGUGGGGAGCAAACAGG